AACGAACGCUGGCGGCAUGCCUAACACAUGCAAGUCGAACGAGACCUUCGGGUCUAGUGGCGCACGGGUGCGUAACGCGUGGGAACCUGCCCUUAGGUUCGGAAUAACUCCCCGAAAGGGGUGCUAAUACCGGAUAAUGUCUUCGGACCAAAGAUUUAUCGCCUUUGGAUGGGCCCGCGUUGGAUUAGCUAGUUGGUAGGGUAAAAGCCUACCAAGGCGACGAUCCAUAGCUGGUCUGAGAGGAUGAUCAGCCACACUGGGACUGAGACACGGCCCAGACUCCUACGGGAGGCAGCAGUGGGGAAUAUUGGACAAUGGGCGAAAUCCUGAUCCAGCAAUGCCGCGUGAGUGAUGAAGGCCUUAGGGUUGUAAAGCUCUUUUACCCGGGAUGAUAAUGACAGUACCGGGAGAAUAAGCUCCGGCUAACUCCGUG
rnacentral:rRNA from 1 species